UACGUAGGGGGCAAGCGUUGUUCGGAAUUACUGGGCGUAAAGGGCGCGUAGGCGGCACAGCAAGUCGGGAGUGAAAGCCCGGGGCUCAACCCCGGAAUGGCUUUCGAAACUGCUGAGCUAGAGUACAGAAGGGGCAACCGGAAUUCUCAGUGUAGCGGUGAAAUGCGUAGAUAUUGGGAAGAACACCUGAGGCGAAGGCGGGUUGCUGGGCUGAUACUGACGCUGAGGCGCGAAAGCCAGGGGAGCAAACGGG
rnacentral:rRNA from 1 species